rnacentral:tRNA from 1 species
GGUUGUGGCUCAGUGGUACAGUGCUCGCCUAGCACACAUGUGAGGCCCUGGGUUCAAUCCUAAGCACCA